rnacentral:sRNA from 1 species
UACAAAGGGGCUAAGACGAGCGAUAGCUCC